UACAGAGGGUGCAAGCGUUGUUCGGAAUUAUUGGGCGUAAAGGGCGCGUAGGCGGUGCGGUAAGUCUGCGGUGAAAUCUCCCGGCUCAACUGGGAGGCUGCCGUGGAAACUGCCGUGCUUGAGUGUGGGAGAGGUGAGUGGAAUUCCCGGUGUAGCGGUGAAAUGCGUAGAUAUUGGGAGGAACACCAGUGGCGAAGGCGGCUCACUGGACCGGAACUGACGCUGAGGCGCGAAAGCGUGGGGAGCAAACGGG
rnacentral:rRNA from 1 species